rnacentral:lncRNA from 1 species
UUUAGUUACACAUUUUGUCUCCAAUAUUUUUUUAAUACAAACUGCAUAUGGUUAUUCAAAUGACUUAAGUGGACCUGAUUUACGGGUCCACUGACUCCACAGCACCUGACCUCCACACAUGCGUCAUGGCGCACCUGACCUCCACACAUGCGUCAUGGCGCGCACACACACACACACACACACACACACACACACACACACUGAUAAACAACAACAACAACAGAAUGUAAAUCAGACAAAGUGUGCUUCAUGCUGACAGCUUUCCUCCUUGCCUUGCCUUGCCUUGCCUUGCCUUCUCUAAACUACUCACGGGAAAUGCCGUGGAAUGAUUUCAUCUGGAAGAGAGAGUUACUAGAUGUGCUGCAAAAAUCAGGGUGGAGCUUUUCCAAGUUGUUCAUGGUCUUCCUGAUGAAAAGCAUCCAGUUUCGGGUAGAUGGAAACAUUUUACAUUGUUGCCAGUUUCUGCCUCAGAAACUGAGGCAUUGCUGUCUGAGUGUGUGCUUUUCUUUCUGUAGCGCUGCUGUGAACUGUAGCCAUGUCGGGUAUAACCCUUAAAUCAGGUCCACUUAAGUCAUUUGAAUAACCAUGGUGGGAUCCUUAUGCAAUUUGUAUUAAAAAAUAUUGGAGACAAAAUGUGUAACUAAAAAAAAAAUACUUAUUUUAUUCUCGUGUGUGUGUGUGUCUGUGUGUGCUCGAGUGCAUGUGUGAGCCAGAAGAGGACGUUAAAUCCCCUGAAGCUAGAGUUACAAGUGUUGUGAGCUAAGAUUUGAACUCAAUCUCUGGAAGAGCAACAAGCCCGUAACCACUGAGCCAUCUAUCGCUCCAGCCCCUUAAAUGCUUAAUAUUUUAGGAGAGAAAGCAUGACAUGUGCUUUCAAUGAUCAGAAUCACGAUGGCACAAACUCGUGGAAUGGAAAGCCCUCCAAUCAUCUAAGAAUCUCAGAGAGGUGCCUAGGUAGCUCUCGCGCACGCUUCCUGCUCAAAUCCACCAGCAGCCCAGGAGCUGUGAACCCCAGACCCACACGCUAACCCUAAUGAAUGUGAGCUGACCUAGUUACGUUUGCUAGGCAUUGUGUUUGGUUGGUUUUGUAGGUAGGGUCCUACUGCGUGUUGAUGGCAGAAAGGACACUUGUGGCUCACCCUCCCGAGUGCUGACAUUACAGGAUGCAUCGCCAUGACUGAUGUCGCUUGCUGCUUUUAUCUAUUACUUAUUUUUUACUUUGAAACAGUCUUAUGUGUCUCAGACUGGCUUCCAACUUACUAUAAUAUCUGAGGAUGACUUGGAAUGUCUGAUUGCCCACUAGCAACUCCCAAGUGCUGGUGUCAUAGGCAAGGAUGACCAAUCCUGCUUUAUGUGGUACAAGGCAUUGAACCCCAGGCUUCUUGUGUGCUACAUGAGCACUCUGGAUGGAGCUGCACCCCAGCCCCAUUUGCUAUUUUUAUGAUGAGGAUUUUUAAGAAUUCAGUCACAUGUUUGCUCACAACCCCCUCCCCCCCAU